rnacentral:rRNA from 1 species
GAGGUUGAACGGCCACAUUGGGACUGAGACACGGCCCAGACUCCUACGGGAGGCAGCAGUGGGGAAUAUUGCACAAUGGGGGAAACCCUGAUGCAGCGACGCCGCGUGGAGGAAGAAGGUCUUCGGAUUGUAAACUCCUGUUGUUGAGGAAGAUAAUGACGGUACUCAACAAGGAAGUGACGGCUAACUACGUGCCAGCAGCCGCGGUAAAACGUAGGUCACAAGCGUUGUCCGGAAUUACUGGGUGUAAAGGGAGCGCAGGCGGGAAGACAAGUUGGAAGUGAAAUCCAUGGGCUCAACCCAUGAACUGCUUUCAAAACUGUUUUUCUUGAGUAGUGCAGAGGUAGGCGGAAUUCCCGGUGUAGCGGUGGAAUGCGUAGAUAUCGGGAGGAACACCAGUGGCGAAGGCGGCCUACUGGGCACCAACUGACGCUGAGGCUCGAAAGUGUGGGUAGCAAACAGGAUUAGAUACCCUGGUAGUCCACACUGUAAACGAUGAUUACUAGGUGUUGGAGGAUUGACCCCUUCAGUGCCGCAGUUAACACAAUAAGUAAUCCACCUGGGGAGUACGACCGCAAGGUUGAAACUCAAAGGAAUUGACGGGGGCCCGCACAAGCAGUGGAGUAUGUGGUUUAAUUCGACGCAACGCGAAGAACCUUACCAAGUCUUGACAUCCUGCGACGGACAUAGAAAUAUGUUUUUCCUUCGGGACGCAGAGACAGGUGGUGCAUGGUUGUCGUCAGCUCGUGUCGUGAGAUGUUGGGUUAAGUCCCGCAACGAGCGCAACCCUUAUGGUCAGUUACUACGCAAGAGGACUCUGGCCAGACUGCCGUUGACAAAACGGAGGAAGGUGGGGAUGACGUCAAAUCAUCAUGCCCUUUAUGACUUGGGCUACACACGUACUACAAUGGCGUUAAACAAAGAGAAGCAAGACCGCGAGGUGGAGCAAAACUCAGAAACAACGUCCCAGUUCGGACUGCAGGCUGCAACUCGCCUGCACGAAGUCGGAAUUGCUAGUGAUCGCAGAUCAGCAUGCUGCGGUGAAUACGUUCCCGGGCCUUGUACACACCGCCCGUCACACAUGAGAGCCGGGGGGACCCGAAGUCGGUAGUCUAACCGCAAGGAGGACGCCGCCGAAGGUAAAACUGGUGAUUGGGGUGAAGUCGUAACAAGGUAGCCGUAGGAGAGCCUGCGGCUG